rnacentral:rRNA from 1 species
GCCAUCAUUCAGUUGGGUACUCUGGGGAAACUGCCGGUGAUAAGCCGCAAGAAAGGUGUGAAUAACUUCAAUUCCCCNNGGCCCUUACCGCAUGGGCUACNCACUUGCUACAUUGGCNGUGACAUUGGGAUCCAAACCCCCGAGGGCAACCAAUUCUCCAAAAUCCGUCUCAUUCCGAAUUUCCUUCUGCAACCCCAAAUGCAUAAAGGGGGAUUCCCUAUUAUUCGUGAAUCACCUUCCCCCGGGGAAUACUUUCCCGGGCCCUUUAAACACCGCCCCUCACACAAUGGGAGUUGGUGUUACCCCACGGCGCUUCGCGGACACCCGANGGGAGCAGGCGACCACGGUNGGGUUUAGCGACUGGGGUGAAGUCGUAACAAGGUAGCCGUCAGGGGAACCUGC